GUGGGGAAUUUUGGACAAUGGGCGCAAGCCUGAUCCAGCAAUGCCGCGUGCAGGAAGAAGGCCUUCGGGUUGUAAACUGCUUUUGUACGGAACGAAACGGUCCUGGCUAAUAUCCGGGGCUAAUGACGGUACCGUAAGAAUAAGCACCGGCUAACUACGUGCCAGCAGCCGCGGUAAUACGUAGGGUGCGAGCGUUAAUCGGAAUUACUGGGCGUAAAGCGUGCGCAGGCGGUGCUGUAAGACAGGCGUGAAAUCCCCGGGCUCAACCUGGGAAUUGCGCUUGUGACUGCAGUGCUGGAGUGCGGCAGAGGGGGAUGGAAUUCCGCGUGUAGCAGUGAAAUGCGUAGAUAUGCGGAGGAACACCGAUGGCGAAGGCAAUCCCCUGGGCCUGCACUGACGCUCAUGCACGAAAGCGUGGGGAGCAAACAGGAUUAGAAAUCCGGGUAGUCC
rnacentral:rRNA from 1 species